AACGAACGCUGGCGGCAUGCCUAACACAUGCAAGUCGAACGAGACCUUCGGGUCUGGUGGCGCACGGGUGCGUAACGCGUGGGAAACUGCCCUUAGGUUCGGAAUAACUCCCCGAAAGGGGUGCUAAUACCGGAUAAUGUCUUCGGACCAAAGAUUUAUCGCCUUUGGAGGGGCCCGCGUUGGUUUAGCUAGUUGGUAGGGUAAAAGCCUACCAAGGCGACGCUACAUAGCUGGUCUGAGAGGAUGAGCAGCCACACUGGGACGGAGACACGGCCCAGACUCCUACAGGAGGCGGCAGUGGGGAAUAUAGCACAAUGGGCUAAGGCCAGAACCAGCUAGGCUGCGAGAGUCAUUUAGUUCGUAGAGUAGAAAAGCACGUUAACCCGGGAUGAUAAUGACAGUACCGAGAGAAUAAGCUCCGGCUAACUCCGUG
rnacentral:rRNA from 1 species